UUGUGUAUAUGUACCACAUCUUUAUCCAUUCAUCUGUUGAUGGACAUUUAUGUUGUUUCCAUGCCUUGGUUAUUAAGGGCUGCUCAGUGCCCAUGUGUGUGGGGAGCGGGGAAGGAGAUGCCCUCGCCUCCCUACUUCAGGCAAAGAAAUGCAGAGGCUGGCAGUUAACAGGCUGGAGCUUGCAGUGGUGCAAGGCCCAGGGUGGAGGAGCCCUGACAGCGUGUACCAUGAUGAUGAUCAGGCUGUGACUCUACUGAGUUCUCCAAAGUGAGGGUUUUUUUUUGUUUGUUUGUUUUUCUGUCUAGUGUCUUACAGUGGGCUGGGAGAACAGAAGAAUGAGGGAAUUAUCCCCAAGGGAAGGUGAAAACCUACAGAGCGUUCUCCAGAGAAGCGGAACCAAGUAGGAUUCCAGGUUUCUCUGUCCUGAGCUCGAGUGUCUCCAGGAAGGAUGACUGAGGAAGAGACUGGUAUACAACAACCUGGGAGAAGAGAUGUAUUGAGUCUGCUGCACAGAUGAUUGAGCUGAGAGAGGAAAAGGGUCCUGUGAGAGAGAGCCUGAGAGGCUGGGGUGGAGCUCGUCCCCUCCAUCCUUGGUUCAGAGCAAGGGCUGGCAUCUCAGCUGAUCCGGCUGCACUGACUCACUGGUCCUGAGACCUGGGGUAAGUUGCCUGAGCCUCAGGCUCCUUCUGUGCAAAAUAAGGAUUGCAGCAGUUCCUCCUACAAAGUGUGAUUGUGAGAUUUAAAGGAAGAAUCUAUAGAAAUGACUGACCCAGGAUAGCUACUGCAAAAAUAUCAGCCCAAACUUACCACCAAUAUGGGUCAGCUUCCUUUCUUCUUUGGCAAAGCUCAGGGGGUAGAAUUCCUCUGAAGGCAGUCAGUUCACAAAGCACAGUGAUUGAGGAUGUUGCCCCCUGAGUAGCCUACCUGUGUUUGAAUUCCACUCUGAAAACUCCUGAUUAGUGACUCUGGGCUAAUCAUAUAAAUUUUUUGUUAUAGCUUCAUUUCCUUAUCUGUAAACUAAAUAUAAAAAUUACACCUGUUUCCUAAUAUAAUUUUCUAAGUCAGCUAUAACAUUAAAUAAUAAGUAAAUGAAUUUAUUUAAAAAAUUGCACCAAUCUCAGUUUCCACUGUGGCCCAGCAGGUAAAGAACCCAACAUAGUAUCCCUGAGGAUGCAGGUUCCAUCCCUGUCCUCACUCAGUGGGUUAAGGGUCCGACGUUGCCAUAAGCUCUGGCAUAGUUCAAAGAUACAACUUGGAUCUCGCAUUGCUGUGGCUAUGGUGUAGGCUGGCAGCUGCAGCCCCUAGCCUGGGAAUUUCCAUAUACUGCGGGUGUGGCCCUAAAAAGAACAACAACAACAAAAAAAGUUGCACCUAUCUCAAGAGGUCGAUUGUAAGGAUUACAUGCUAUACUAUAGGUAAUUUCUUAGCACGGGGCGGGUACUGAAAUACGUAUGCCUUAAAAAAUAGAUGCAAAAGUUCCUUUUUCUAAAUUGAGGUAAAAUGCGCAUAAUAUGACAUUAACCAUUGGAAACAGGAUUAAGAUGGCGGAAUAGAAGGACUGGAGCUCAGCUUCUCAUAAAAACAACAAAAUUACAAUCAAAUGCUGAACAACCUUCAACCAAAUGGACUGGAAACUUUCAAAAAGAUAUCCUGCUCCAGAAGACAAAGAGGAGGCCACAUCAAGAGUUUUGUUGCAGUAUAAUUCACACAUAAAAUUGUAAGAUAUCCAAAAAAAAAAAAGAAAGAAAUUAACCAUUAACUAUUUUAAAGCAUACAAAUCAGUGGCAAUUAGCACACUCACAAUGUUGGGUGAGCAUCACCUCUAUCUAGUUCAAGACACUGUCCUCACCCAGAAGGAAACCCUGCACUCCUUAAAUAGUUACUCCCCAUACAACUCACCCUCAAGCCCCUGGCCACUGUGAGUCUGCUUUCUAUCUCUAUAGAUUUGGCUAUUUUGAAUGUUUCAUAUAAAUGGAAUCAUGCAAUAUGGAACCUUUUGUGUCUGGCAUCUUUUACUUAGCAUAACAUUUCAGAGACUUGUAUGUGACUGAAAUUGACUGAGGGGCUGUUUCUCUUCAUUGUGAUCAUUCAAGUCUCAUCACUAAACAUAAGGUUUUUUGGCUUAUACAAGUCAAAUAAAAAUCUUGAAGGGUUGCCCUCUACAUCACUGUGGUCAAUAGCCCAUGCCCAAGAUGUCUGCAGGUCAGACUGCUGACUGUGGUUCCAUAGUCAUACCCACUAUAUCUUUGAGACUCAAGUGUGGCCACUUGGUCACUACGACCCCGGGAUCCCAUCAUUUCGCUCUCUGAGAAGGCCAGCAAUAAGGAAAGGACCAGAAAUUGCACGUUCUAACUUCAAAUGAAUAUCUGAAGUUUCAGACAUAGAUGUCUGGAUACUGAUAUGGUAUAAAGGUUUGGGUUAAUGCCCUCAAUCAAUUUUUUUAAAAAAAACAAAACCCAUCCUUCAAGUCAGUAAGGAAGGUUGAAAGCCCAACAGAAAAAUGGGCAAAGGAUAAAGUUUCCUUAAAAAGCAACACAUUUAGUUCUUUAAGGAACCUCCAUACUGUUCUCUGUAGUGGUUUCACCAGCUUACAU